CAGCCGCGGUAAUACGUAGGGCGCGAGCGUUGUCCGGAAUUAUUGGGCGUAAAGAGCUCGUAGGCGGCCUGUUGCGUCCGCCGUGAAAUCCCAGGGCUUAACCCUGGGCCUGCAGUGGAUACGGGCAGGCUGGAGGCAGGCAGGGGAGAACGGAAUUCCCGGUGUAGCGGUGAAAUGCGCAGAUAUCGGGAGGAACACCGGUGGCGAAGGCGGUUCUCUGGGCCUGUACUGACGCUGAGGAGCGAAAGCGUGGGGAGCGAACAGGAUUAGAUACCCUGGUAGUCCACGCCGUAAACGUUGGGCGCUAGGUGUGGGUCCCUUCCACGGGGUCUGUGCCGCAGCUAACGCAUUAA
rnacentral:rRNA from 1 species